UGAGGUGAAAUGAAACUGAAACGUCC
rnacentral:piRNA from 1 species